GCCUGGGUGGCUCAGUCGGUUAAGCAUCAGACUUCAGCUCAGGUCAUGAGGUCAUGGUCCAUGGGUUCAAGCCCCGUAUCGGGCU
rnacentral:tRNA from 1 species